rnacentral:misc_RNA from 1 species
AGGUAGCAUUCCUCAAGACAUCGGACCGCACGGCACGAGACCGGAACGGAGCCGAAAGUCGUUCGAGAUUAGCGUUUAAGCUUAACGUGGGCAAAUAGGAGCCUUAUACCCCGUGCCCUUUGCAUUUUCCGCAUCCCGGAGCUCAACGGGAACACAUUGGCCACGGCAACAACACGGUAGUCGUUAGCCGAGGACAACGGGCACCGUUGCAAGUUUCACCCUCGACCGCACCCGCUAACGGGCAUAGCCUAAGGCAAACAAAAGAGAUUUGAAACCGAAUUCCAUUGGUAGGUACGCAACACAGGAAACCGAGAUGUUGGCCAAUAUAAAUUGUGCCAAAAAUGAAGAGGAACGCACGGUAGGACGUCGCCGCACAAGGCCGGGAUCC